ACCCUGGAGGACUAGUGGUUAGGCCACAGUGCUCUCACCACCUCUGUCCGGGUUCGAUUCCCGGCCAGGGAA